rnacentral:tRNA from 2 species
GCAUGGGUGGUUCAGUGGUAGAAUUCUCGCCUGCCACGCGGGAGGCCUGGGUUCGUUUCCCGGCCCAUGCA